GGACUUUGGCCACUGUCAGUUCUAUAUUUUUAUAAAGUUUUGGUUUCUUAGUGUGAUAAAUCUGUGUAUAUAGUCUAUAUAGUGUGGUAAAUGCGCCUAGCAGUAAACAGACUUGAUAUGAAAUCUGAUCUUAAUUUACCUGUAUGUCAAUGAGAAAGACGCACAUGUUUAAUAUCUGUCACCUCUGAUUGCCCUUUAACCCCUGGUCUUUGCUACUUCAAUAUAUAUUGCUUCUUCUCAGUUCCAUUCACAGCUCACUAGUCGCUGCGAGUAAUCACUGUGCUUGAUAUAAUCUGUGCUGUUUACUGUAGUUCUAUUUGCUUUUAAUGCCAGCAGCAAUCCCUACCUUGCAGGUACCCUAGUAUUUAACAUAUAAAGCGUGGGCUUUUAGUGUUAUCCCGUUUCCUGUAUGAUGCAUGCAUUUUGCAGUCUAUUAAUCCAAAAAACUU
rnacentral:lncRNA from 1 species